CCCUAUGCUACACAAAAGAGACUGCACCAGCAACACGUCCAAAUGCAUUCUCUCUUUGUAUAUGUUGGGAGAUAAUUGCUGAUCCUUCUGCACCAGAAACAUCUUCUGAGCAAAGGACACCAACAGCUUUGUUCAAAGAUGUUUGGAUAACAGACAACCUUGGAACCUAGAGGGUAAUACAGCUGGACAGCCCUCCUUUUCCUCCCCUGAGAUAUUCCUGGGUAAUGAAGCCAACAUCUCUACUUGGAAGGAGAAGAGGCAGCUUUGAUGGCUAUACCUGUAGAAGAUCAAGAUCUCCCAUCUGCAUGUUACUCAGCUGUGCACGAACCCACUGUAUGUGCAACAUCCACCUAAGCCUGCUCCACACUGUCCCCAUGAGACCUGGGGGCAAAGGGGAGCAAGGCAAACAUGGAGUCCACGGAGCCUGCUGUACUCAUCAAUGGCUGUUGAUGAGAUAUCAUAUGUCAGUAUGAUUCCUGUUCAUUGACUAGCUUGAGUACAUUUUCUACCAACUGAGUCAUCAAGAUCCUGGAAGGAAACAGAUGGCACAUGCAAAAGGUAAGUGAGGAAAAUUUAAUAAGGCAACUAUUUGUAGAGUUACGGUCAGUGCUAAAGAACCAACAAAGAAUGGUGAAGUUCUCAUAGAUUAGCAACAGUGCAAAGCCAUUAUCACCCCUAAACCUGAAAGGGUCUGGAAAAAAAGCAAAGUUAUUGGAAAAUGAGCUGCAGCCAUGAAUGAAGGACCAUCUGGCAGGAAUUGUGGCCACAGCAGAGAAAACCAGCCAUUGCCAAAACCACACUCAGCAGAGUACUGAAGAUUCUCAUUAUUCAUGGUAGCUAUGUUCUAUCAAGUCACCACAAGCACUGAAUCAGCAAAUACUGUUCCUAGGAGAAUUACGGGGUUAGGUUCCUGUAAGCUUCUGGUCACAUUAUUGCCAAUAUUUAAUUCAUAACCUUGUUUUAUGUGUGUUUCUGUUUAAAGACAUCAUAUUUAAUGUAUGUUGUGGAUCCAUUAACAUUAAACUCAUGGCUAAUAGCCCUUAUCAUACAUGUCUGAACAAAGGUUAUCUAAUCUGUGUUUUUUUCCAUAAGGCACCACAUCACAGCUUUCUCACACUUAGGAACAGUAGACACUUGGG
rnacentral:lncRNA from 1 species